CCCAGUCGCAAACCUAGUCCAACAAAAACAACAGCAACCACAAUUAUAAAAAAAAAAAAAAUAUGCAAUAACAAUAAAAACGAAGCGCUGGAUUUUUUUCUUUUUGCAUAUUUUAGUGUACAUUUUUGACGUCAACGAGAAGCCAUGGUAUUUGAAUGUUUGUGGAAGUGAAUUUUUUGUAACGACUCGUAUGAUUAAAAACAACGAAAAAAUUGUAUAAACAACACCAAAACGGCACUAUCAAAACAAAAUGCCAUUUAAAACAAUGAAUGGUGACGGACGCCGUGCCGAAACUGCCGAUUUAUUUCUUUAAACGUGCUGAUUAUUCCCUGAUAUGUUGAUACAAGGUCUUCUACAAUAGCAUCGGAGAAAAGGUGCCCUGCACUCAAGCAGAACUUGGCUUGCCGAGCUUUGAACGCACUAGGAAAUCUACCGUUACUCUUAUUAACACUUUAAUGCCAUUUAUAAUUUUUAUUUAAAAUAAGAAAAUCUUUCA